rnacentral:rRNA from 1 species
AUUGAACGCUGGCGGCAUGCCUUACACAUGCAAGUCGAACGGUAACAGGUCUUCGGAUGCUGACGAGUGGCGAACGGGUGAGUAAUACAUCGGAACGUGCCUAGUAGUGGGGGAUAGCUACUCGAAAGAGUGGCUAAUACCGCAUGAGAUCUACGGAUGAAAGCAGGGGAUCGCAAGACCUUGUGCUACUAGAGCGGCCGAUGGCAGAUUAGGGAGUUGGUGGGAUAAAAGCUUACCAAGCCGACGAUCUGUAGCUGGUCUGAGAGGACGAUCAGCCACACUGGAACUGAGAAACGGCCCAGACUCGGCCGGGAGGCAGCAGUGGGGAAUUUUGGACAAUGGGCGCAAGCCUGAUCCAGCAAUGCCGCGUGCAGGAUGAAGGCCUUCGGGUUGUAAACUGCUUUUGUACGGAACGAAAAGCCCCGGGUUAAUACCCUGGGGUCAUGACGGUACCGUAAGAAUAAGCACCGGCUAACUACGUGCCAGCCGCCGCCGUAA